rnacentral:rRNA from 1 species
UACGAAGGGGGCUAGCGUUGCUCGGAAUCACUGGGCGUAAAGGGUGCGUAGGCGGGUCUUUAAGUCAGGGGUGAAAUCCUGGAGCUCAACUCCAGAACUGCCUUUGAUACUGGAAAGCUUGAGUUCGGGAGAGGUGAGUGGAACUGCGAGUGUAGAGGUGAAAUUCGUAGAUAUUCGCAAGAACACCAGUGGCGAAGGCGGCUCACUGGCCCGGUACUGACGCUGAGGUGCAAAAGCGUGGGGAGCAAACAGG